rnacentral:rRNA from 1 species
CCUACGUGGGACAGCAGUCGAGAAUCAUUCACAAUGGGGGAAACCCUGAUGGUGCGACGCCGCGUGGGGGAAUGAAGGUCUUCGGAUUGUAAACCCCUGUCAUGUGGGAGCAAAUUGAAAAGAUAGUACCACAAGAGGAAGACACGGCUAACUCUGUGCCAGCAGCCGCGGUAAUACAGAGGUGUCAAGCGUUGUCCGGAAUCACUGGGCGUAAGGCGUGCGUAGGCGGUUUCGUAAGUCGUGUGUGAAAGGCACGGGCUCAACCCGCGGACGGCACAUGAUACUGCGAGACUUGAGUAAUGGAGGGGGAACCGGAAUUCUCGGUGUAGCAGUGAAAUGCGUAGAUAUCGAGAGGAACACUCGUGGCGAAGGCGGGUUCCUGGACAUUAACUGACGCUGAGGCACGAAGGCCAGGGGAGCGAAAGGGAUUAGAUACCCUAGUAGUC